rnacentral:rRNA from 1 species
AGUGAACGCUGGCGGUAGGCCUAACACAUGCAAGUCGAACGGCAGCACAGUAAGAGCUUGCUCUUACGGGUGGCGAGUGGCGGACGGGUGAGGAAUACAUCGGAAUCUACUUUUUCGUGGGGGAUAACGUAGGGAAACUUACGCUAAUACCGCAUACGACCUACGGGUGAAAGCAGUGGAUCUUCGCACCUUGCGCGAUUGAAUGAGCCGAUGUCGGAUUAGCUAGUUGGCGGGGUAAAGGCCCACCAAGGCGACGAUCCGUAGCUGGUCUGAGAGGAUGAUCGGCCACACUGGAACUGAGACACGGUCCAGACUCCUACGGGAGGCAGCAGUGGGGAAUAUUGGACAAUGGGCGCAAGCCUGAUCCAGCCAUACCGCGUGGGUGAAGAAGGCCUUCGGGUUGUAAAGCCCUUUUGUUGGGAAAGAAAAGCAGCAGGUUAAUACCCCGCUGUUCUGACGGUACCCAAAGAAUAAGCACCGGCUAACUUCGUG